rnacentral:rRNA from 1 species
GCAUAUCAAUAAGCGGAGGAAAAGAAACCAACAGGGAUUGCCUCAGUAACGGCGAGUGAAGCGGCAACAGCUCAAAUUUGAAAUCUGGCUCCUUCGGGGUCCGAGUUGUAAUUUGCAGAGGAUGCGUCGGGUACGGGUCCCUACCGAGUUCCCUGGAACGGGACGCCAUAGAGGGUGAGAGCCCCGUCUGGUAGGAUACCCAGCCCAUGUGACGCUCCCUCGACGAGUCGAGUAGUUUGGGAAUGCUGCUCUAACGGGAGGUAUACUCCUUCCAAAGCUAAAUACCGGCUGGAGACCGAUAGCGCACAAGUAGAGUGAUCGAAAGAUGAAAAGCACUUUGAAAAGAGAGUCAAACAGCACGUGAAAUUGUUAAAAGGGAAGCACUCGCUACCAGACUUGGGUUUGGCGGUUCAACCGGGGCCACGCCCCGGGGCAUUCCGCCAGCUCAGGCCAGCAUCAGCUUUCCGUCGGGGGCAAAGACGUCGGGAAUGUGGCUCCCCUUCGGGGGAGUGUUAUAGCCCGGCGUGUCAUACCCUUCGGGGGGCUGAGGUACGCGCUUCUGCAAGGAUGCUGGCGUAAUGGUAGCUAGUGACCCGUCUUGAAACACGGACCAAGGAGUCAACCUUAUGUGCGAGUGCCCGGGCGUAAAACCCCAGCGCGGAAUGAAAGUGAACGUAGGUGAGAGCUUCGGCGCAUCACCGACCGAUCCUGAUGUCCUCGGACGGAUUUGAGUGAGAGCAUAUAGGGUUGGACCCGAAAGAAGAUGAACUAUGCGUGUGUAGGGUGAAGCCAGAGGAAACUCUGGUGGAGGCUCGCAGCGGUUCUGACGUGCAAAUCGAUCGUCAAACAUGCGCAUGGGGGCGAAAGACUAAUCGAAUCUUCUGGUAGCUGGUUUC